GAUGCCUCAGUAACGGCGAGUGAAGCGGCAAAAGCUCAAAUUUGAAAUCUGAGGCUUUCAGCCCCCGAGUUGUAAUUUGAAGAUGGUGUUCUGGCGCCGGCCCCCUGUCUACGUUCCUUGGAACAGGACAUCACAGAGGGUGAGAAUCCCGUCUGGCGGGGCGGCCUGGCUCCGUGUAGAGCGCCAUCGACGAGUCGAGUUGUUUGGGAAUGCAGCUCUAAGUGGGUGGUAAAUUCCAUCUAAAGCUAAAUAUUGGCGAGAGACCGAUAGCGAACAAGUACAGUGAUGGAAAGAUGAAAAGAACUUUGAAAAGAGAGUGAAAAAGUACGUGAAAUUGUUGAAAGGGAAGGGUAUUGGAUCAGACUUGGUGCUGUGCGAAUAGCGGCUCUUCUUGGGCCGCCCACUCGCACUCCACCGGGCCAGCAUCGGUUUGGGCGGCAAGACAAUGGCGGGGGAACGUGGCACUGCUCUCGGGCAGUGUGUUUAUAGCCCCCGCUGAUGUUGCCUGCCUAGACCGAGGACUGCGGCUUCUGCCUAGGAUGCUGGCGUAAUGAUCCAACACCGCCCGUCUUGAAACAUGGACCAAGGAGUCUAACGUCUAUGCGAGUGUUUGGGUGUAAAACCCGUACGCGUAAUGAAAGUGAACGUAGGUGAGGGCCCUUUCUGGGUGCAUCAUCGACCGAUCCUGAUGUCUUCGGAUGGAUU
rnacentral:rRNA from 1 species